rnacentral:rRNA from 1 species
GAUGAACGCUGGCGGCGUGCCUAAUACAUGCAAGUAGAACGCUGAAGGAAGGAGCUUGCUCUUUCCGGAUGAGUUGCGAACGGGUGAGUAACGCGUAGGUAACCUGCCUGGUAGCGGGGGAUAACUAUUGGAGACGAUAGCUAAUACCGCAUAACAGUAGAUGUUGCAUGAUAUCUACUUAAAAGGUGCAAUUGCACCACUACCAGAUGGACCUGCGUUGUAUUAGCUAGUUGGUGAGGUAACGGCUCACCAAGGCGACGAUACAUAGCCGACCUGAGAGGGUGAUCGGCCACACUGGGACUGAGACACGGCCCAGACUCCUACGGGAGGCAGCAGUAGGGAAUCUUCGGCAAUGGACGGAAGUCUGACCGAGCAACGCCGCGUGAGUGAAGAAGGUUUUCGGAUCGUAAAGCUCUGUUGUAAGAGAAGAACGAGUGUGAGAGUGGAAAGUUCACACUGUGACGGUAUCUUACCAGAAAGGGACGGCUAACUACGUG